ACAGUCACUGGAAAUGAUCAACACAAUUAGAUUUGCUUCUUUUGCCCCAGAACAAAGCGGGUUUGUUGAUGUACUGAAUCGGACACAUUACUUUCUAGCUGAACACUCAGCUUCAUCCACUCCAGGACAGCUGAGCGUCUGGGGCUUCAGAAGCUGAUGGCAUAGUUAUGAGAGGGGUGAAGACUGCGACUGCAUUUCCAACAGACCCUGAGGACAAUUGGGAAGAAUGCGCUGAAUAUUUUUGAGCAAUUUCUAUAUGAUAAGCAGUUUUUAGGUUGCACUGAUCCUGACCUUUUGGCCUGAGGAUGGAAGUCUUCAGUAUCUGUACAACUUUACUCCCAAGAGCUGGUGUAGAAUGAGUUCCUCUGGCCAUGGGAGGAUCGCAGAGGGGCACCUGCCACCAGCAGCCCAGCCUCAGCACUUUUCUCUUCAGCGUCUUCUUCAAGGUAUUUCCAGUUGCCCGCCCUGAACUGUUUCAGAAUGAGGAGGACACCUGGAGGAAUCUACACGUGCAUAGACCAAUUUGCAAAAGAACCUGUGAGCCAACAUUAUUACCUCAGCUGGAAGAAUUAAUAAGCAACACGUUCACCCAAGAAGUAUUUACUGAGCACCUACUAUGUGCAUUAUUUUCUGGUGUUGGGGCUAGGGGGCAAACGACUCUGACAAGUCUCUGUUCUCAAGGUACUCACAUUUAUAUGGAUGAAGAUAGAUAACAAACAAGGAAAAAAUUGGACAGACAAAAAAUUUAGGUGGUGCCAAGUAUGAUGCAAACACUAAAACAGUAAUGCAAUAGAAGAUGUCAGAGGGAGAGUGGGAAGGUUACGUUAAAUAGAUGUCCAAGGAAGAUCUCUCUGAGGAGAAGCUACUAGGGCUGAGAUCUUAAUGACAACAAGGAACCCAAGGGCUGGAAGCAGAGCGUUUUGAACAUGGCCAGUGGGUGCAAAGGCCAUCACACGUGAAUGGGCCUGGCCAGGUGGAAGGACAGAGGGCAAGGCUGUUGUGGUUGCCCUGUGAGUGCGAACGGCCCAAGAUGGGAUGAAAGAGGAGGUCGGGACCACACCGUAUAGGAAUAUCAGAUCAUGGUCAGGGCUUUGGAUUUUACAGGGGUGCAGUAUAAGCCAUGGGGAGUUUUAGACAGGUACAGAAGUAAUUUACAUUUUCUUUCUUUCUUUUUUUUUUUUUUUGAAACGGAGUCUUGCUCUGUCCCCCAGGCUGGAGUGCAGCGGCGCGAUCUCGGCUCACUGCAAGCUCCGCCUCCCGGGUUCACGCCAUUCUCCUGCCUCAGCCUCCCGAGUAGCUGGGACUACAGGCGCCCGCAACCACGCCCGGCUAAUUUUUUGUAUUUUUAGUAGAGAUGGGGUUUCACCAUGUUAGUCAGGAUGGUCUCGAUUUCCUGACCUUGUGAUCCGCCCGCCCCCGCCUCCCAAAGUGCUGGGAUUACAGGCGUGAGCCACCGCGCCCGGCCGUAGUUUACAUUUUCUAAAGCGUACUCUGCCAGCCAAGUGGCAAACAGACUUGGGCCUCUUAAGAGUGGAAGCAGGAGGAAACCCGAAGAUCCUGGAGAGAGACUGGUGGCUGGUACCAGUGGAGAGGGAGCAAAAAGGAAAAUACAGGAUACAAUUUCAGGAAAAAUUUCAUACCAAUUUCCUGAGGUAAUUUCUGAACUCGAACAUUUUCAGUGUCACCACAUUGUGUUUCCUGCUGAAUCAAGUCUACAUCACUUCGGUUUUUAAAGCCUUCCACGAUCCUUCCCUGAACACUGUAGUUUUCACUGAUGGUUGGCUGUUUCAAACUCCCAUAUGAUCCAUACUGUAUCAUUAAUAAGCAAGCAAGGAAUAACACACCCUCUGCUAUUCUGUGCAGUGUUUCAGGUUUUUAGUUUUCUCUUUCAAGAUAGAAAAUCCCUUUAGAGUAGGAACUCGGCUGGCACUUUCUUUCACAUCCUGCAUAGCACUUAGCAAAGUUCUGUACACAGGGCACAUGUGGAAAUUGCUUAUUGAUUGAUUAAAAGCAUAUAUCACUGGCAUUUGUAUCUUCAGUAUUUCUCUUGUAUGAAGAAGGGUGAUUAUCUGUCAAUAUUCAUUGCAUCAUUGAACCAAUGUACAAUGCAUUAAUCAUCACUGAAGAUAACCAGAUGAGGCUUUAUUGUAAUCUCCUUCUAUUUUGCUGAGAUAAUUUCACUUGCUUUAGAGUUUAUGAGGCCAUAAGUGGCUCCCAUCUGUUGAUGAACAUAUUUCUAAGAGUCAUUUAGUCUCAAGUAUGGAAUACUUGAGGGGAAGUUAAAUUGUAACUUUUAUAUUAAGUGUCAUCUUAGUAACAGAACCAAAAUUGGAAGCAUGUGUUCAAUUUUGGUUUUUCAUUUUCAAAGCUUUAGGUCAGGCAAAGAAUUAAUUUCAUUUGUUUACAAAGUAGAUUAUGCCUAAUAAAAUCUAUUUUGUUUAUGGUCACAUUUUAAUCAAUCCACUGCUUUAGAAAAUGAGAGAAUUCUGAUUGGCUAAUCAUUCAACAUAGUAAAUUACAUUAUUCCACAUCCACAGAACACUGGCCUAAUUGCAUUAUCCAGUAAUGAUAAAAAUAUUCCUUUUAAUACAUUUUGAGCAAGGCAUAUACCAGUGAUGAAACAGGGAAGAAUCUUGUUUAUUCCAUCCUUGUUUGAUGAUCGACCACAGAAU
rnacentral:lncRNA from 1 species